rnacentral:rRNA from 1 species
UCCGCGGGACGGGGCCGCCCCGCGAGGGACGGCGCCGCCCCGGGGCUCGUGAUAUCUCAUCUCGCCGCCCGUCGCGAGGCGGACGGAGGGAUGGAUGAGGUUACCUGGAAAAAAUCGGGGCGAUCUAGGCGGGCGAACCUCGCCAACGAACGAUCGGACAUGGGAUAACGGAAGAGGGCGUCGGCUCGACUUCGUCGGUUCCUCGGGGCCGAGGCACGUACGGUGAAUAGGGGACGGUCGGGGCCGCCCGUACCGGGGUCGUGAGAGGUGAAAUUCUAGGAUCGACCCGAGACGAACCGCCGCGAAAGCAUUCGGCAAGGACGCUUUCAUUAAUCAAGAACGAAAGUCGGGGGAUCGAAGACGAUCAGAUACCGUCGUAGUCCCGACCGUUAAACGAUGCCGACCGAGGGCCCCGGAGGAGUUACGUACGACCCUCCGGG